GGUUAAGCGACUAAGCGUACACGGUGGAUGCCCUGGCAGUCAGAGGCGAUGAAGGACGUGCUAAUCUGCGAAAAGCGCCGGCGAGGUGAUAUGAACCUUUGACCCGGCGAUGUCCGAAUGGGGAAACCCAGUGUGAUUCGUCACACUAUCGUUAACUGAAUACAUAGGUUAACGAGGCGAACCGGGGGAACUGAAACAUCUAAGUACCCCGAGGAAAAGAAAUCAACCGAGAUUCCCCCAGUAGCGGCGAGCGAACGGGGAGCAGCCCAGAGUCUGAAUCAGCUUGUGUGUUAGUGGAAGCGUCUGGAAAGUCGCACGGUACAGGGUGACAGUCCCGUACACGAAAGCACACAGGUUGUGAACUCGAAGAGUAGGGCGGGACACGUGGUAUCCUGUCUGAAUAUGGGGGGACCAUCCUCCAAGGCUAAAUACUCCUGACUGACCGAUAGUGAACCAGUACCGUGAGGGAAAGGCGAAAAGAACCCCGGCGAGGGGAGUGAAAAAGAACCUGAAACCGUGUACGUACAAGCAGUGGGAGCACCUUCGUGGUGUGACUGCGUACCUUUUGUAUAAUGGGUCAGCGACUUAUAUUCUGUAGCAAGGUUAACCGUAUAGGGGAGCCGAAGGGAAACCGAGUCUUAACUGGGCGUUAAGUUGCAGGGUAUAGACCCGAAACCCGGUGAUCUAGCCAUGGGCAGGUUGAAGGUUGGGUAACACUAACUGGAGGACCGAACCGACUAAUGUUGAAAAAUUAGCGGAUGACUUGUGGCUGGGGGUGAAAGGCCAAUCAAACCGGGAGAUAGCUGGUUCUCCCCGAAAGCUAUUUAGGUAGCGCCUCGUGAACUCAUCUUCGGGGGUAGAGCACUGUUUCGGCUAGGGGGCCAUCCCGGCUUACCAACCCGAUGCAAACUACGAAUACCGAAGAAUGUUAUCACGGGAGACACACGGCGGGUGCUAACGUCCGUCGUGAAGAGGGAAACAACCCAGACCGCCAGCUAAGGUCCCAAAGUCAUGGUUAAGUGGGAAACGAUGUGGGAAGGCACAGACAGCCAGGAUGUUGGCUUAGAAGCAGCCAUCAUUUAAAGAAAGCGUAAUAGCUCACUGGUCGAGUCGGCCUGCGCGGAAGAUGUAACGGGGCUAAACCAUGCACCGAAGCUGCGGCAGCGACGCUUAUGCGUUGUUGGGUAGGGGAGCGUUCUGUAAGCCGUUGAAGGUGUGCUGUGAGGCAUGCUGGAGGUAUCAGAAGUGCGAAUGCUGACAUAAGUAACGAUAAAGCGGGUGAAAAGCCCGCUCGCCGGAAGACCAAGGGUUCCUGUCCAACGUUAAUCGGGGCAGGGUGAGUCGACCCCUAAGGCGAGGCCGAAAGGCGUAGUCGAUGGGAAACAGGUUAAUAUUCCUGUACUUGGUGUUACUGCGAAGGGGGGACGGAGAAGGCUAUGUUAGCCGGGCGACGGUUGUCCCGGUUUAAGCAUGUAGGCGGAACGAUUAGGUAAAUCCGGUCGUUUUUUAACGCUGAGGUGUGAUGACGAGGCACUACGGUGCUGAAGUAACAAAUGCCCUGCUUCCAGGAAAAGCCUCUAAGCAUCAGGUAACAUCAAAUCGUACCCCAAACCGACACAGGUGGUCAGGUAGAGAAUACCAAGGCGCUUGAGAGAACUCGGGUGAAGGAACUAGGCAAAAUGGUGCCGUAACUUCGGGAGAAGGCACGCUGAUAUGUAGGUGAAGCCCCUGCGGGUGGAGCUGAAAUCAGUCGAAGAUACCAGCUGGCUGCAACUGUUUAUUAAAAACACAGCACUGUGCAAACACGAAAGUGGACGUAUACGGUGUGACGCCUGCCCGGUGCCGGAAGGUUAAUUGAUGGGGUUAGCGGCAACGCGAAGCUCUUGAUCGAAGCCCCGGUAAACGGCGGCCGUAACUAUAACGGUCCUAAGGUAGCGAAAUUCCUUGUCGGGUAAGUUCCGACCUGCACGAAUGGCGUAAUGAUGGCCAGGCUGUCUCCACCCGAGACUCAGUGAAAUUGAACUCGCUGUGAAGAUGCAGUGUACCCGCGGCAAGACGGAAAGACCCCGUGAACCUUUACUAUAGCUUGACACUGAACACUGGUCCUUGAUGUGUAGGAUAGGUGGGAGGCUUUGAAGCGUGGACGCCAGUCUGCGUGGAGCCGUCCUUGAAAUACCACCCUUUAAUGGCUGGUGUUCUAACGUAGACCCGUGAUCCGGGUUGCGGACAGUGUCUGGUGGGUAGUUUGACUGGGGCGGUCUCCUCCCAAAGAGUAACGGAGGAGCACGAAGGUUAGCUAAUCCUGGUCGGACAUCAGGAGGUUAGUGCAAUGGCAUAAGCUAGCUUGACUGCGAGAGUGACGGCUCGAGCAGGUGCGAAAGCAGGUCAUAGUGAUCCGGUGGUUCUGAAUGGAAGGGCCAUCGCUCAACGGAUAAAAGGUACUCCGGGGAUAACAGGCUGAUACCGCCCAAGAGUUCAUAUCGACGGCGGUGUUUGGCACCUCGAUGUCGGCUCAUCACAUCCUGGGGCUGAAGUAGGUCCCAAGGGUAUGGCUGUUCGCCAUUUAAAGUGGUACGCGAGCUGGGUUUAGAACGUCGUGAGACAGUUCGGUCCCUAUCUGCCGUGGGCGCUGGAGAAUUGAGGGGGGCUGCUCCUAGUACGAGAGGACCGGAGUGGACGCAUCACUGGUGUUCGGGUUGUCAUGCCAAUGGCACUGCCCGGUAGCUAAAUGCGGAAAAGAUAAGUGCUGAAAGCAUCUAAGCACGAAACUUGCCCCGAGAUGAGUUCUCCCUGAGACUUUAAGUCUCCUGAAGGAACGUUGAAGACGACGACGUUGAUAGGUCGGGUGUGUAAGCGCAGCGAUGCGUUGAGCUAACCGAUACUAAUGAACCGUGAGGCUUAACCUU
rnacentral:rRNA from 1 species